UACGUAGGGGGCAAGCGUUACUCGGAUUUACUGGGCGUAAAGAGAGUUAAGGCGGCUGGGUAAGUCGGAGGUGAAAUCCCUCAGCCUAACUGAGGAACUGCCUUCGAUACUGCUCGGCUUGAGGACAGGAGAGGAAAGUGGAAUUCCCGGUGUAGCGGUGGAAUGCGUAGAUAUCGGGAGGAACACCAGAGGCGAAGGCGGCUUUCUGGACUGCUCCUGACGCUGAUACUCGAAAGCUAGGGGAG
rnacentral:rRNA from 1 species